ACUGUUAAACCUGUCUAUAAAAACACCGGUUCUCGUCCGAUCACCGAAGUUAAGCAAUGUCGGGCCCGGUCAGUACUUGGGAGGGUGACCACCUGGUGCUGUAGGCU